rnacentral:rRNA from 1 species
CAUAUAAUACCUAAUAUACCGGUUCUCGUUAGAUCACCGAAGUUAAGCAUCAUUGGGCGCGGUCAGUACUUGGGUGGGUGACCACCUGGGAGCACA